rnacentral:misc_RNA from 1 species
UUUCCGUAGGUGAACCUGCGGAAGGAUCAUUACAGAGUUCAUGCCCUCACGGGUAGAUCUCCCACCCUUGAAUAUUUAUACCUUAGUUGCUUUGGCAGACCGUGGAAACACCAUGGGCUCCGGCUUAUGCGUGCCUGCCAGAGGAAACAAACUCUGUUUUUAGUGAUGUCUGAGUACUAUAUAAUAGUUAAAACUUUCAACAACGGAUCUCUUGGUUCUG